UCCGGUUUGUCACCGGCAGUCUCGCAUGAGUCCACAACUUAAUGCUGGCAACAUGCGACGGGGGUUGCGCUCGUUGCGGGACUUAACCCAACAUCUCACGACACGAGCUGACGACAGCCAUGCAGCAUCUGUGGUGCACCCUCGAAGGUCACACGUUUCCAUGCGCUUGCAGCACCAUGUCAAGUCCAGGUAAGGUUCUUCGCGUUGCAUCGAAUUAAAGAACAUGCUCCACCGCUUGUGCGGACCCCCGCCAAUUCCUUUGAGUUUCAACCUUGCGGUCGUACUUCCCAGGUGGGAUACUUAAUGCUUUCGCUCAGACGCAUACUGUCAUAUCGCACACGUCGAGUAUCCAUAGUUUAGGGCGUGGACUAC
rnacentral:misc_RNA from 1 species